UACGUAGGGUGCAAGCGUUGUCCGGAAUUAUUGGGCGUAAAGGGCUCGUAGGCGGUCCAUCGCGUCGGGAGUGAAAAGCUGGGGCUUAACCCCAGUCCUGCUUCCGAUACGGGUGGACUAGAGGUAGGCAGGGGAGAACGGAAUUCCUGGUGUAGCGGUGAAAUGCGCAGAUAUCAGGAGGAAUACCGGUGGCGAAGGCGGCAUCCUGGACCAUUACUGACGCUGAGGCGCGAAAGCUAGGGGAGCAAACGGG
rnacentral:rRNA from 1 species